rnacentral:tRNA from 1 species
UGGCGGAUCGUCUAACGGUAGGAUAGAGGACUCUGACUCCUCCAGUCUAGGUUCGAAUCCUAGUCCGCCAGCCA